rnacentral:rRNA from 1 species
AUUGAACGCUGGCGGCAGGCCUAACACAUGCAAGUCGAGCGAGCGGCGGAAGGGUGAGUAAUAUGGGGGGCUCUGCCCGAUAGAGGGGGAUAACCACUGGACACGGUGGCUAAUACCGUAUAAUCUCGUAUGAACCGAUAUGGGAGUGGCUGGUAGGUGGGGUAAAGGCUCAUCUAGGCGACGAUCUCUCGCUGGUCUGAGAGGAUGAUCAGCCACACUGGGAAUGAGACACGGCCCAGACUCCUACGGGAGGCAGCAGUGGGGAAUAUUGCACAAUGGGCGCAAGCCUGAUGCAGCCAUGCCGCGUGUAUGAAGAAGGCCUGCGGGUUGUAAAGUACUUUCAGCGGGGAGGCGUUACCCGAAGAAGAAGCACCGGCUAACUCCGUGCCAGCAGCCGCGGUAAUUC